AUGUAUAACGCAAUCUUGUUAUUUAAUUUGUACACAGUAUAUGUAAUGCAUACCUCUUACACACUAGGAACAUGUGUGAUGCAAUCAAACUACUCACCGUAUCCACUGAUGAGGUCUGUGUUCAAUAAGGAAGUAAGGAAAAAAAAACUACUUAUGCAACUCGAUUGGUGGCAUUCAGGAAUCAGGAGGGACCCGGAGAGGGCUGCACGCGUUGGAUAUGGGUCGGGGGAGCGGUCGGCCGGCGUUGCAAGGUGUUGGACGCCAUGGAGUUGGGUCGGAGGAGUGCCGCGCUGCGGCGUGAUUGUGCCCGAGGAUUUGGCGGAGGUGCAUGGGGAGGACCUCGGCGAUGGACUGAGAUGA
rnacentral:rRNA from 1 species